ensembl:lncRNA
UUCAUAUUCACACAGUUCAAACCGCCGUGUGUCACGUCCAUGAACUGAAGACAUUCAUCAUCAUAGAGAUUGAAGAAGAAGAUUUAGCGAAGCGCUGGUUAACGGCAGAUAAGAAACCGAUACUGAGAAUCAGUUGUGCAGGCUUAUACUGUGACGGAAUAUUGCUGCUUGUAAAUAUAUUCCACAGAUGGAGUCAAUGACCAAAACACCAGCUAGAAAUGCAUAUUUGUGUGUGUUUCCUGUGCAUUGGAGAAUCAGUUUAGGUAUGUAAGUGGUAUGUGUGACAGCAUCUGUCUGGGACCAGAAGAAUCACCAGAGACUCCAUUACAAUCAGCUUCAUAAUGGGCGUGAACGUCGUGCAUUUCUCCAAUUCAGAAUUUUGUUGCUUUUUUUCUGCCUAAAAUGGCUCGUUUGAUGAGAAAUGCUCCCAGAGCUCCACGAAAGCUCGGCCAGCAGCAAAGUUGGACAGCGGCUCGGUGCUCAAAGUGUCAUCGAACAUGAAAAAGGCCUUCCCUAUAAGCAUUUCCUUGGCCUUGACAGCUUGCUAAUGAGGCUAUUGAUUGCAGUAACACAUGCUGAUGAAGGAUCAAUGGGCCAGGCGCCAUAGGGUGACAUCUGUUAACAAUGCUGGAUGAUUAAUUUAAUAUGUGGCUGGGAAACUCAAUCUCUCUCUCUGGCCAAUCAUGCUGGAGGUAGCUCCCAUCGAAAAGAAGUGACGUUCACUGCAAGAAUGAAGAAACAAAGCAGGUCUCCAAUCAGUAAAAGCUUACCAAAGAGCUCCCUCUCAGCAACAAGAGAAUCCAAACCACAAUGGAUGAGAUUUCCCUCUGACUGCUGCCGAUGAAAUUUGUAGAUAAAGGCGGAGCUCCCCCACCUUGAACAAGCACGCACGCGCAAAGACACACAACGCAAACGUGCACACACAGACGGACACAAACAAACCGCAAUCAAAAUUUGACGGUUGUUUGUUGGAUACUGAAACAUGGACAGGUGUCACAGUUCAGCUUCACCCCCUCCUCGCGCUACUCAUCAGUCUGUCAUAAGUCCCCUCACCUGUUCUCUCACCUGCAUCUGAUCAUCCAUCAAACCACUGUACAGACUCCUGCUGCUCAGACACACAGGUUUUCCGUGACGGACCCUCCCGCGGACUGACACCCUGUUACCGACCCGGCCUGCCUUUCCCCGUUCUUCCCGCCUGGCCUGACUCCCGGGAAGGUGGCUUAAGGCUCUGAAAGGCGAUCAAAGGCUCUUCAUACACCAUUAACUAGGAAGUGCUACCAUAACGACUCUAGUCUGUUGCCAGUUUUGACACCAUUCCGGAUUUAUUUUUCACUCACCCCAAAUAAGUGUUAAACUCCUGGUGAAAUGGUUUCCAGUUGUCAGAGAGGCCUGAUUGAGGGCUUCGGGAUGUCAUUUAGGUCUAAGAAUUGACAACCUGAGGUCAUACCAC